GCCGCUCGCGGCUGGGGGGUCCGGGGCCGCGUCUCCUCUCCUCCCUCCGCCUCUCCUCUUUCCUCCUUCCUGCUGCCUCUUCUUUUAAAGCGGAUUCUUUGGCCACAAAUAGCAACUCGGCUGCCCCCCUCGGUGCCUCCCUCCCCUUCUCUUCUUCCCCCCAAAAGUGAAGCGCACGCGAGGAGCUGAAAAGCUGUGCAGGGAUGAUGGACCCUUGCCCCCUGUGACCUAAGGAUGGAUCCAGAAAUCUCAGCCUCCCCAUAGAAACGAAGACCCUGAGAAUUUAAAAUCAUCCAACUAUUUGGUGCCAGAAGCAGGACAAGAACUCAGACAUCAUGAUCCAGUGCCCUCCAUCCCACCAGCUAUUCAUCAUCACCUCCACAUUCUGGAUCAAAGAAGCCAGUUUUCCAACUUAUCAAUGAGCAAUACAUAUAGAAUAUUUUUAAAACUCCAAAUACUUUUAUGAAGGAAAAAUGAAGCAAUAGGACAAGACAUUUUCUUCGUUUCCUUCCAGCUCUAACAUUCUGUGAUAAAUAGCACACAGGAGCUUUGCUAUAGCACUACCCCCUCUAGUGCAUAAUUCAGCAUACGAUGAGUAUGAGUCUGUUUUGGACCCCAUCCAAAGGAGUUAGUUCCUAGAAGUACUUGGAAGAUUUAUUCUCAUUUAUCAUGAGGCAUCCUAACAGGAGACUAAAAAUAAUCACGAUGACAAUAAUAGUAAUCAGUUGUUACACUUGUAUUAUGUACUAAGCAUCGUGCUAAGCAUGUUAAAGUUCACCUGUUUUUGAAAAGGCACUUCAUGACCUUAUGUGGGUUGCGAAUCUAGUGGGUCAUAAACAAUUUCUGAAAUGAAAGAAAAGUAGGAAAAAACACAGAGUGCAUUAUACAUACUAAGUUGUUUUAUUUUUUAUUUUUUUAUUUUUUUUGCAAAACUUCCUUUUUGAUCAUGUGGCUAGUGAUUAAAAGUU
rnacentral:lncRNA from 1 species